GAGGAGAGCAAUGUCAGUAUCAAGUCCCUCUCUUACUCUCAGCUUUCUUAUUUUCAAAAAGAGUAUUAUGUUCAUAAUAAUUAAUGAGAAGAAAACCCUGAAUAAGGUGGAUAUGACCCUCUUUUAAACUACCCAGUUAUGAAAGCGCAGUUUAUAUCUCUUUACGGGAGAAGUUCUUAUACUAAAGUUACAGGCAUUUCUGGAAAAAUAAUAAAUUGACUUUAUGAAAUAUAUUUUCUUGUGAAAGAAAAUCCUUAUCAUUAAAAAUUACUUCAUCUUUA